AUUGAACGCUGGCGGCAGGCCUAACACAUGCAAGUCGAGCGAGCGUCGCACGGGUGAGUAAUGUGUGUGGGCUGCCCGUGAGAGGGGGAGAAAUACUGGAAACGGUAGCUAAUACCGCAUACUACCUGAUUACCCAUAUGGGGUUAGCUAGUAUGUGGGGUAAUGGCUCACCUAGGGGACGCUCCCUCGCUGGUCUGAGAGGAUGAUCAGCCACACUGGGACUGGGACAAGGGCCAGACUCCUACGGAGGCAGCAGUGGGGAAUAUUGCACAAUGGGCGCAAGCCUGAUGCAGCCAUGCCGCGUGUAUGAAGAAGGCCCUAGGGUUGUAAAGUACUUUCAGUCGGGAGGCGUUACCGACAGAAGAAGCACCGGCUAACUCCGUGCCAGCAGCCGCGGUAAUUC
rnacentral:rRNA from 1 species